rnacentral:rRNA from 1 species
UACGUAGGGUGCAAGCGUUUGUCCGGAAUUAUUGGGCGUAAAGAGCUCGUAGGCGGUUUGUCGCGUCUGCUGUGAAAUCCCGAGGCUCAACCUCGGGCUUGCAGUGGGUACGGGCAGACUAGAGUGCGGUAGGGGAGACUGGAAUUCCUGGUGUAGCGGUGGAAUGCGCAGAUAUCAGGAGGAACACCGAGUGGCGAAGGCAGGUCUCUGGGCCGCAACUGAACGCUGGAG